UCGAGCGGCAGCGCGGGGGCAACCCUGGCGGCGAGCGGCGAACGGGUGAGUAAUGCAUCGGAACGUGUCCUCUUGUGGGGGAUAACCAGUCGAAAGAUUGGCUAAUACCGCAUGAGAUCGAGAGAUGAAAGCAGGGGACCGCAAGGCCUUGCGCGAGAGGAGCGGCCGAUGCCGGAUUAGCUAGUUGGUGGGGUAAAAGCCUACCAAGGCGACGAUCCGUAGCUGGUCUGAGAGGACGACCAGCCACACUGGGACUGAGACACGGCCCAGACUCCUACGGGAGGCAGCAGUGGGGAAUUUUGGACAAUGGGGGCAACCCUGAUCCAGCCAUGCCGCGUGUGUGAAGAAGGCCUUCGGGUUGUAAAGCACUUUCGGACGGAACGAAAUCGCGCGAUCUAAUAAGUCGCGUGGAUGACGGUACCGUAGGAAGAAGCACCGGCUAACUACGUGCCAGCAGCCGCGGUAAUACGUAGGGUGCGAGCGUUA
rnacentral:rRNA from 1 species